AUUGAACGCUGGCGGCAGGCUUAACACAUGCAAGUCGAGCGGGGAAAAGUAGCUUGCUACUUAACCUAGCGGCGGACGGGUGAGUAAUGCUUAGGAAUCUGCCUAUUAGUGGGGGACAACAUCUCGAAAGGGAUGCUAAUACCGCAUACGUCCUACGGGAGAAAGCAGGGGACCUUCGGGCCUUGCGCUAAUAGAUGAGCCUAAGUCGGAUUAGCUAGUUGGUGGGGUAAAGGCCUACCAAGGCGACGAUCUGUAGCGGGUCUGAGAGGAUGAUCCGCCACACUGGGACUGAGACACGGCCCAGACUCCUACAGGAGGCAGCAGUGGGGAAUAUUGGACAAUGGGGGGAACCCUGAUCCAGCCAUGCCGCGUGUGUGAAGAAGGCCUUUUGGUUGUAAAGCACUUUAAGCGAGGAGGAGGCUACCGAGAUUAAUACUCUUGGAUAGGGCACGUUACUCGCAGAAUAAGCACCGGCUAACUCUGUGCCAGCAGCCGCGGUAAUACAGAGGGUGCAAGCGUUAAUCGGAUUUACUGGGCGUAAAGCGCGCGUAGGUGGCCAAUUAAGUCAAAUGUGAAAUCCCCGAGCUUAACUUGGGAAUUGCAUUCGAUACUGGUUGGCUAGAGUAUGGGAGAGGAUGGUAGAAUUCCAGGUGUAGCGGUGAAAUGCGUAGAGAUCUGGAGGAAUACCGAUGGCGAAGGCAGCCAUCUGGCCUAAUACUGACACUGAGGUGCGAAAGCAUGGGGAGCAAACAGGAUUAGAUACCCAGGUAGUCCAUGCCGUAAACGAUGUCUACUAGCCGUUGGGGCCUUUGAGGCUUUAGUGGCGCAGCUAACGCGAUAAGUAGACCGCCUGGGGAGUACGGUCGCAAGACUAAAACUCAAAUGAAUUGACGGGGGCCCGCACAAGCGGUGGAGCAUGUGGUUUAAUUCGAUGCAACGCGAAGAACCUUACCUGGUCUUGACAUAGUAAGAACUUUCCAGAGAUGGAUUGGUGCCUUCGGGAACUUACAUACAGGUGCUGCAUGGCUGUCGUCAGCUCGUGUCGUGAGAUGUUGGGUUAAGUCCCGCAACGAGCGCAACCCUUUUCCUUAUUUGCCAGC
rnacentral:rRNA from 1 species